rnacentral:rRNA from 1 species
CCUACGCGGGGUAGCAGUGAGGAAUAUUGGUCAAUGGACGAGAGUCUGAACCAGCCAAGUAGCGUGAAGGAUGACUGCUCUAUGGGUUGUAAACUUCUUUUAUAUGGUACUAAAUUGUUCCACGUGUGGGAUUUUGUAUGUAUCAUAUGAAUAAGGAUCGGCUAACUCCGUGCCAGCAGCGGCGGUAAUACGGAGGAGCCGAGCGUUAUCCGGAUUCAUUGGGUUUAAAGGGAGUGUAGAUGGUUUUGUAAGUCAGGUGUGAAAGUUUGCGGCUCAACCAUAAAAUGGCAGUUGAAACUGGCAGUCUUGAGUACAGUAGAGGUUGGCGGAAUUCGUGGUGUAGCUGUGAAAUGCUUAGAUAUCACGAAGAACUCCGAUUGCGAAGGCAGC